rnacentral:rRNA from 1 species
CCCUUAGAUGUUCUGGGCAGCACGCGCGCUACAAUGGUCUUCGCAAACGGAUGCAUUCUCGAAGGAGAAUGCCAAUCUUGGAAUCUAUGCCUUGGUCGGGACAGUUGCUUGCAAUUUUUCGACUCGAACCAGGAAUUCCUUGUAAUCGUGAUUCAUCACAUCACGAUGAAUACGUCCCUGCCCUUUGUACACACCGCCCGUCGCACCUACCGAUUGAAUGGUCCGGUGAAGCCUCCGGAUUGCGCGGCUUUGGCUGUCGCGAGAAGUUGGCUAAACCUUACCAUUUAGAGGAAGGUGAAGUCGUAACA